AACGAACGCUGGCGGCAUGCCUAACACAUGCAAGUCGAACGAGACCUUCGGGCCUAGUGGCGCACGGGGGCGUACCGCGUGGGAACCUGCCCUUAGGUUCCGAAUAACUCCCCGUAAGGGGUGCUAAUACCAGUUAAUGUAUUCCGACCAAAGAUAUUGUGCCGGGCGAUGGGCCCGCGUCGGUUUCGCUAGUUGGUAGGGUAAUAGCCUACCAAGGCCACGAUGGGUAGCUGGUCUGAUAGGAUGAUUGGCCACCCUGGGACGGAGAUACGGCCCAGACUCCUACGGGAGGCAGCAGUGGGGAAGAUUGCAGAAUGGGCGGAAGCCUGAUGCAGCCACGCCGCGCGCGGGAUGACGGCCUGCGGGUGGUAAACCGAUUUCGCCUGUGACGAAGCGUGAGUGACGGUAAGGGGAAAAGAAGCACCGGCUAACUACGUG
rnacentral:rRNA from 1 species